rnacentral:lncRNA from 1 species
UCCCUGAAUUCCAUCAACAUUUGAUUGUAAUCUGUCAAGCUUUUGAAUUUCUUCUGCAUCUAGAGUAGCAUGUAAUUUACUAACUAAUUCAGAAGGAAGAUGAAGCCUCUCAUCAUCUAUAUAUAAACAAACCUCUUCCCAACAACAAAUAAAAGCUAAAUCUAACACUCUCCUAGUUGAUUCUUCAUCAUAAAUAACAUAGAGACCAUUUUCCUAAGGCACAUUAGAGUCUUGCACAUAAUAGCCUUUAGGAUUUGGGAAGCUAGCUAGUUCUGCAUAUUUCGCAACUAUCUUUUCGAAAGACAUAGAAUCAACACUUUCCUCCACAAAUUCAACGUUUACCUCUUGAUAACACCAAGAUUUCUUCUUCUCCCAAUACCCCCCGUAAUUGAACCAAAAUCCCUCAAAAACGAAACUGAAACGCAAAAAACACAAAAAAAAUCAAAUCUCAAAACAACCAAAACAAAUCAAUAUAAGAAGAAGGACGAUUUUCUCAUUGAAUGCACUUAUCCUGAACCGUCGUCGUCGUCUUCCGCCAUCGCAUGCAAGGUUUGGUGGCUUAUGACUCCCUAUCAUUUUUUUCUUCCAAAGAGGAAC